UACGUAGGGUGCGAGCGUUUAAUCGGAAUUACUGGGCGUAAAGCGUGCGUAGGCGGUUCUCCAAGUCCGUUGUGAAAGCCCCGGGCUCAACCUGGGAAUGGCAGUGGAAACUAGGGGACUGGAAUCUGGCAGAGGGGGGUGGAAUGCCGCGUGUAGCAGUGAAAUGCGUAGAGAUGCGGCGGAACACCGAUGGCGAAGGCAGCCCCCUGGGCUGAGAUUGACGCUCAGGCACGAAAGCGUGGGGAGCAAACAGG
rnacentral:rRNA from 1 species